UACGUAGGGCGCGAGCGUUGUCCGGAAUUAUUGGGCGUAAAGAGCUCGUAGGCGGCCUGUCGCGUCCGCUGUGAAAACCCGGGGCUCAACCCCGGGCUUGCAGUGGAUACGGGCAGGCUAGAGGCAGGCAGGGGAGAACGGAAUUCCCGGUGUAGCGGUGAAAUGCGCAGAUAUCGGGAGGAACACCGGUGGCGAAGGCGGUUCUCUGGGCCUGUACUGACGCUGAGGAGCCGAAAGCGUGGGGAGCGAACAGG
rnacentral:rRNA from 1 species